CACUUUUAAAUAACUAUUUUUAUAAAUGCGGCAUAUCAAAUUUUUACAUUGGAAUUUUGUGGUCAAUAUAUGGAAUAUUUCAAAUGAUUAGCAGUCCUAUAAUUGGAAAGCUUAGUGAUAUUAUGCCAAGGCUCUUAAUUUUAUCCAUUUGCCUAUUUGGAGCAGGAAUAUCUUAUUGGAUGUUGAGCCUUUCAUUUAAUAACUUUUAUAUAAUUUUAAUUUCAAGAAUUUUGUCUGGUAUUUUUAAACAUUCAAGAAGCUUGUGUAAGUCAAUUAUAGCAACAAAUAUAAAAGAUAUCAAUCAAAAACCACAGCUUUAUAAUGAUAAAG